UACGUAGGGCGCAAGCGUUGUCCGGAAUUAUUGGGCGUAAAGCGCACGUAGGCGGCAUUGCAAGUCGAUGUGAAAUCUUAUGGCUUAACCAUAAAAGUGCAUCCGAAACUGCAGUGCUUGAGUACUUAAGGAGGAUCGCGGAAUUCCCGGUGUAGAGGUGAAAUUCGUAGAUAUCGGGAGGAACACCAGUGGCGAAGGCGGCGAUCUGGGAAGAGUAUUGACGCUGAGGUGCGAAAGCGUGGGGAGCAAACAGGG
rnacentral:rRNA from 1 species